GUUUAAUCGGGUCCGUCAGCGACUGGAGAAUUUGCAAGAUCUUGCCAUUAAAAAGGCUAAGCAGGAGAUGAGGAGUCCUUGAAAGUUAAUAAGGGAUGAAUUGUGUGAACUGUACAUGGUUGAAAAAUGUAAACCUUUAAAUCCUAAAGGACCCAGUGUGGCAACAGCAAAUGCAAGCCCACAAAGCGCAGGGAAAUGAUUUUGUAUUGCUGUACUCUUUAUUUUGGCGUUAAAGACAAAUUACAAUACCA